UGACCUUCCAAAAAAGUUCAUGAAUAAGUUGUAGAUCAGAAUAGUAGGGACAUAAUCAUGCGUGAGUUUCGCUCUAAAUUCCUCUGUCCCCUUAUCACAACUUAUUUAUAGGCUCAUGGUAUUGAUGUACAAGUAUCAUUUGUGAUCUCCCAAUUAAGUCGGAGAAUUAUCUCCAUCGUAUUGGAAUCAAUGGCAGGUUUAGAAGAUAAAGAGUUGCAAUCAACUUUGUGAUGUAGGCGAGAUCGUCUAUUAUGGCUUCACCGCAGCGAAGAAAACUGGAUUACUGUGAUGAUAUUUUGGGACAACACAUUACAAUUGUUUGGGGGUGACGAUUAUUGAAAGAUGCAACUGUAAAGAGAAUUGAAGAUUAUAUAGAUUGCAACUCGUGCUAAAAUUUUGGUGUGGUAUUUAACAGUUGCGUUCUGUUGGCAUUUUUAUGUUGUAUAUUGGCAAUGUAAGAUUUUAUGAUUCAUGUUGAAGCCUUAAUGGAAGAACCCAAAAGGAAUUCUGUUUUCUUAAGCUAUUUUUUUCAGUGGAGUUUCGUGAUAUAUCCAAGAAUUCUUUCCUUUAACAGAAGUUUAACGAAAUUCAAUCGA